GAUGAACGCUGGCGGCGUGCCUAAUACAUGCAAGUCGAGCGAACAGACGAGGAGCUUGCUCCUCUGACGUUAGCGGCGGACGGGUGAGUAACACGUGGAUAACCUACCUAUAAGACUGGGAUAACUUCGGGAAACCGGAGCUAAUACCGGAUAAUAUAUUGAACCGCAUGGUUCAAUAGUGAAAGACGGUUUUGCUGUCACUUAUAGAUGGAUCCGCGCCUAAUGAGCUAGUUGGUGAGGUAACGGCUUACCAAGGCAACGAUGCGUAGCCGACCUGAGAGGGUGGACGCCCAGCUGGGAAGAGAGGAAGGUUCGCGACACUGGGGGUAGGACACGGUAGGGAAUCUUCCGCGAGGGAGGAAUGCCGAACGGAGCAACGCCGGGGGAGUGAUGAUGGUGUUAGGAUCGUAAAGCGCUGUUAUUAGGAAGGACGAAAUGCUUAAGUAACCGGGAACAUCUUGACGGUACCGAAUCAAAAAGCCCCGGCUAACUACGUG
rnacentral:rRNA from 1 species